UUUGUUAUCACAAACGUAUAUGCGCCCUCAAACCACAAUCACAAACAAGACUUCCUCGACGAAUUCAGAGAAAUCCAAGAAAAUGACCAAAUCCUGUGGCUCAUUGCAGGCGACUUUAACCAAAUCCGCUUUCCUAGUGAAAAAAAUAACCGUAAUUUUCACCAACGCGAAGCUGAUGCUUUCAACGCUAUGAUCAACGACCUCGCUUUAAUCGAGCUACCACUGCUUGAUAGACGCUUUACUUGGUCUAACAAAAGAGCAAACCCAACCCUGGAAAGACUUGACAGAGCUUUUAUUAACCUAGCCUAG
rnacentral:rRNA from 1 species